UACGGAGGGGGUUAGCGUUGUUCGGAAUUACUGGGCGUAAAGCGCACGUAGGCGGAUUGGAAAGUAUGGGGUGAAAUCCCAGGGCUCAACCCUGGAACGGCCUCAUAAACUUCCAGUCUGGAGUUCGAGAGAGGUGAGUGGAAUUCCGAGUGUAGAGGUGAAAUUCGUAGAUAUUCGGAGGAACACCAGUGGCGAAGGCGGCUCACUGGCUCGAUACUGACGCUGAGGUGCGAAAGUGUGGGGAGCAAACAGG
rnacentral:misc_RNA from 1 species